ensembl:lincRNA
AUGAGCUUGACUAUGUCUUAUGAAAGAGAGACAGGAUCUUUUGGGUUACAGGGCUGUUAUGUAAAUUCUCUCUUUCCAACAUUCUUUACAAUCUUGGUGUCUAGACUCUGGUCUUCAUGUUGCUGUCUCAGCCAGCCCUUUCCCACAGAAGAGUUACCAUUUGAUCUAUGUCAAGAAGUGGGUAGGUCACCAGCAGAGUCUGCUUCUGGGAAGCAUUUUGGGUAUAGUGGUUCACCCAGAGCCUAUGUCUGUGAUAGCAGAAGAGAGAUAUUUGUGGCUAGUCUGUCAUGACACAUCAGAGACUGGUGGCUUCAGGAGCAUAGAUGGCAGACUUUUUCACAGUUUCGUAUUGUCAUCGAGCUUCCUCAACUCCCCCAGAAAGUAUCUGCCUUCACAGAACAUAAACAGAACUCCAUGAAGAAAGGAGAAAGGAAGCAAAACAGAAGUUUAUCCUAUCAACGUUUUCUGCUCAGGUUGGUCCUGACCCACCUCUCCAGGAGAAAGCCUCAGAAUAUCCCAGAGUCUGUUGAUCUCAACUACUCCUUCAUCAGUGCAACAAUCCCAUUUCCUUUUCGUGUGUUUAUACUAUGUUAGCUCCCAACAUUUGGCCUUGGAGGGCAGAAUGAUUUCUUUUGGGUUUACAGUCUCAUAGGCCUAAAACCACUUUGCAUCUCCUAAAAAGAAAUUCUCUGUUUUUUCUAAACAUUUCCCUGAUCACCAAAGAUCUUAAAUAAAAAUAUGUCUACUGUCUUUGGUGGUUUUUAGUGUAUAAAAUGUCAUCUAUGUGCUAUACCAAGUUAAGUUCAUGAAAAAUAGAAAUAAAUGUUUAUAUCCCAACACUUACAUUUCAUAGUUUUAAAUUAACAAAGAGUGAAAAAAAUUCUAAACAUCAGUUAGUUCUGUUGUUGUAUGUAUGUACAGAUUUUAUAUACCCAUAGCAAACCCUGACAUCUUAUUUCUGGAAGGUAAGAUACUCACUAAUUUGGUCAAUAAUGAGAUAGUAAGGUUUAAUAUUUUUAUUUUAAUUACAAAGUACUAGUAGCUUAGUUCAGUUCAAUGCUUCUAACAUUUCCAGGUUUUGAUGGUGAUGGUGGUUGUGGGCAAGUGAGGAGGCAGUUGGUAAAAUACUGGCCUUUACUGCUACUUUGAAAAUCUCACAUCACAUGAAUGAAGAAUGUUGAACUUUUUAGCUCACUUCAGAACAGUUGACUUUAAGUACAAGUAAAUGUGGUUUUCAGAAGAGUCCUAGGAACAAGGAUAAUUUUUUUAUUAUUUUGUAAAUUUUUUUAAUUUUUAUUUUUUGUGGGUACAUAGUAUGUGUAUGUAUUUAUACAGUACAUGAG